GAUGAACGCUGGCGGCGUGCCUAAUACAUGCAAGUCGAGCGAAUGGAUUAAGAGCUUGCUCUUAUGAAGUUAGCGGCGGACGGGUGAGUAACACGUGGGUAACCUGCCCAUAAGACUGGGAUAACUCCGGGAAACCGGGGCUAAUACCGGAUAACAUUUUGAACCGCAUGGUUCGAAAUUGAAAGGUGGUUUCGGCUGUCACUUAUGGAUGGACCCGCGUCGCAUUAGCUAGUUGGGGAGGUAACGGCUCACCAAGGCAACGAUGCGUAGCCGACCUGAGAGGGUGAUCGGCCACACUGGGACUGAGACACGGCCCAGACUCCUACGGGAGGCAGCAGUAGGGAAUCUUCCGCAAUGGACGAAAGUCUGACGGAGCAACGCCGCGUGAGUGAUGAAGGCUUUCGGGUCGUAAAACUCUGUUGUUAGGGAAGAACAAGUGCUAGUUGAAUAAGCUGGCACCUUGACGGUACCUAACCAGAAAGCCACGGCUAACUACGUGCCAGCAGCCGCCGUAA
rnacentral:rRNA from 1 species